rnacentral:antisense_RNA from 1 species
AGCAGCUGCAUCCUGCUCCUGUCUGGUUUUGUGCUGUGGAAGCUUUGUUCUUUCACUCUCCGUAAUAAAUCUUGAUGAUCCUCACUCUUUGGGUCCGCGCUAUCUCUAUGAGCUGUAAUACUCACUGCGAGGCUCUGUGCCUUCAUUCCUGAAGUCAGGGAGACCACAAACCCACCAGAAGGUACAAACAACUCCGGAUGUGCCACCUUUAAGAGCUAUAACACUCACCGCGAGGGUCUGUGGCUUCAUUCCUGGAGUCAGUGAGACCACGAACCCACCAGAAGGAAGAAACUCCGGACACAUCUGAACAUCUGAAGGAACAAACUCCAGACACACCAUCUUUAAGAACUGUAACACUCACUGGGAGGCUUUGUGGCUUCAUUCUUGAAGACAGUGAGAUCAAGAACCCACCAGAAGGAAUAAAUUCUGGACACAGCAACAGCACAAAGUUAAACCAGGAAGUCCCUCUGCCUUGCUAGGGAUCCAGCUUUGCCUUCUUGUUGAGGUAUCCCAUUCCAUUACAGUUGACCUAAGUUUGAACAAACACUGCCACCUGAUGCAUGAAAGCUCUACUGUGACCUACGUUAAAAGGAACUGACACUCCCUCAGGCUACCUUAGUCAGUGGGGGCUUAUUGCAGCAUACCUGUGGCAAUGAGAGAGAGAGGCACAUCACAGGAGCAUCUGGCACCAGUGGCAUCCCAAAUUUAAGAUGAAACAAUAGAGAAAGAACCAAGAAGUUACAUACAUUCAUCAGAAUUGCUGGAGAGUCCUGACCUCUGGCCAUCGAUCAAAGGGAAGCAUUCACUACUGAAAGUUUGUCUUCACUGUACUGGGUAUUCAACUUCCUUGAAAUUAAAAGGAAGAAGGAUAAAAAGUGGUAUGCUGAAUGGAUUAAAGGACAAGGACCAAACUUCAAUUAUCAUCACAGAAAUUAACAUAUGUGGUCUCAUCAAUGAACAAAUCUUUACCAAGUCAAAAAAAAGGGUAUUUCACAUCGCACUGACUCCUCAGAAAAAAAGGCCAAUCUAGGGUACAAUGAUAUUUCUCAUCUACUUUGCCAGAAUGAUGCAAGAGAUCCAGAGAAACGAAUGAAAGCAAGUGUAUUAUGCUCAAAAGUAGGACAAAGACAAGACAAACUGGAGGUAAUAUUCAAUAGCAUGUAAUUGGUCUCUUCAUGAACCCAGGUGAACUAUCAAAUUUUUUCAACAGGUAAAUUGGGGGGAGGGGUACAACAUGUCUGAUAUAUCUACUAUUGCACAAAGAAGAAUUACAAUAAGAUUUUUUAAGAGAAAUUGUCCCUUUGAAGACGAUCAAAAGAGAGUUGAAACAUUUCUGAAAUAAAAUGCAUUCUAUUGGGGUAGGGUUCUUAUUCACCAGAUAUUAGUAAACCUAUCUCCAAUACAAAAGAAAGAAGAAGUUAGGCCAAAUUCAGUACUACUUCUGUCUUCCAUAAAAUGUUCAUUUAGCCCUGCAGAAAUUGAACUCGAAAAAAGGUUUCAAUUUAAUUGACUCUAUACAGGCCUAAACUAGUAUUUUUUUAAGAGAGUUAUGAAGAAAAGAUGAAUAUGUGGAGCACAGAGGAUUUUUAGGGCAGUGAAACUACUCCGUAUGAUACUGUAACAGUAGAUAUCAUGGUAUUGUACAUUUGUCCAAACCUACAGAAUGCACACCACCAAGAGUGAACCCGAAUGUAAACUAUGGACUUUCGGUGAUAGCGAUGUAUCAAUGUAGGCUCAUCAGUUGCAACAACUGUGCCACUCUGGUGGGGUAUGUUGAUAAUGGGUGAAGCUGUACAAGUGUGGGGACAGGGGACAGCUGUACAAGUGUGGGGACAUAUGCAUGGGAAACAUCUGUAGUUUCUGUUCAGUUUUGUUGUGAAUCUAAAAUUACUCUAAAAUAUAAUGUCUAUUUAAAAAAAAGUGGUUAUAUAAAAACUAAGGCUACACUGUAAGUUUACCUCUGACAAGGUCUUAUGCAGCAGGGAGCUUUGGUUUUUCAACCUGUGAGCUUCAUCCACAACAAGAACACUCCAAGGGAAUCUGUGAGAGAAAACCCAAGCUUUCAGUUUUGUGUAAUUUAAACACAUAUUUCACAAUCCAAAGUCGUACUACAAAACUGUGACUGUUGUUAAAAAGACUAACAGUAAGCCCCUUCUGUUACAAAUGCUACCAAAUUACCUUCCUAUCUGAGAGGCUACAUGUGCAUAAUACAAUAUCUGGAUAAGGUAGUAAAACCAAAGGAUUUUUUUUUUUUUUAACAAAAUGGGAAAGACCUAUGCAGAAAAGAAGCCAGAGACAGAAAGGAAAAGGAAACAUUUAUGAUCUCCUACUUUGUGCCAGACACUGACCUCAGGGCUUUAUGUGUUAUUUAGUCUAAAAGAGUAUAGCAAGCAAACAAUCAUGCUCAUUUUACUAAUGAAGACACUAAAGCUCAGAAAGGUUAGGUGACUUGGUGAAGGUCAUAAAGACAGAGCUGAUGUUCAAACACAGAAGAAAAAAAUCAAGAGACAGUGGUGUUGUAGGAACUUAAGAAGUGUGACUUUAAAAUGGGUAAGUGGUGAGCAGAGUCAAAUCUCACAGAGAUGUCCAGGAAGAUAUAUCCACUGAAUUUGUUGACAUGGAAGUCAUUAGUGGCUGUUGCCAGAGCACAUUUUGUAGCAUACUAUGUCACAUCAGCAACUUCUCGAGAAGUUUCAGUCAUAAAAGCAAAUACUUUGACAAAUACUACUGAGAAGCUAUUUAAGAAAAAUUCAAAAUACAGAAAAAGAUAUAUGUGGGAAUGUUUCAAGUUGUAUUAUUUAAAACAGCAAAAAAUGGAAAAUAACCUAAAUGUCCAAUAAUAGGUAGUAAAAUAUUACAUGGCAUUUUAAAUAAUAAAUAUGAUUAUGUUGCAAUUUAAAAGGCCUAUAGAAUAAUAAAAAAGAUAUAAAUAUCAUGUAUCCUCUUUUACAAAUGUGAAAGCCAUGCAAAAGAUAAUAAAGUGAAAAUUAUAAGA